GUGAACAACUGGUUCUCUAACUGCAACACAAGUGACAUCUGAAAUGCAGCCAUGCACCUAUUUUUUUCCCCCAAGCCCGUGAUUUAUUUAUUCCACAUCCACCUUGCACUGCCAUCUGAAUAGGUGGGAGCUGUAAAGCACCACAGAUGUGAUUCUUGUUCAUUUUUGUCAGGUUCCAGGAAUGAGAUGUGAUUGCUCAGAGCCUGAGCAGCUCCCACAGCUUAAACACCCGUCUCCUUGAAGAAGUGCAUUAGUGCCUUGCAGUGACAUUCAUCAUACGGUGGAUUCAUGGAAGCAGCAAGAGAAAUCAAACUUGAGCACACACCUAUCUCCAGAAUACCUUAACUCUGCUUAUGGAAAUGACCAGAUACUUACACAGAGACAUCUACCCUGAUUCCAACACAUAUCCAACAUUUCUGCUUUCACCCACCCAUGUGCAGGAAUUUGGGGUCUUACCUUCUAAUAAUCUCCUCAAUAAAGAUGGGUUUGAAAAGAUGCAGUGACGUAAAAUGCUAGACCUUCCUAAUCACAUAUCCAUAGCGCCAGUGAUCAAGCACCACAUGGAAAGGCAGCCUCUCUGUGCCCCCAUCCCCUCUGAACCACAGAAUGCCUGGCUGAAACAGUCCAGCAGAUGACCCCAACAACCAUCUCCAGAUCCAGCAGGAAAAUGACCUCACACCAUCAGCCCCUUCUCCUGGGUAUCUGUGCCUGCAUCUUCUGUUGCAGAGACUCAGGUGCUCAGACCUAAAGCCAACACCAUACAUUACUGAACUUCACUGCUUCUUUAGACAAAUGGAAAUCGA